GGUGGUUUAUAAAAGCAGAGUGAGGUUGCACUCCAGCCUCCAGCAGGCGUGGCUUACUGUCUGAUAUAGAAAUUUUCUCUUAACAUCUCAUUCCUCUCAUCUAAGCUGUAAGUUAACAGGAACUCAUACUCUUCUCAGCCCCACUGCUAAACCAUGGCAACUGUCACCAUUGAGUACUGUAAAGACUGAAGUUAUGCAUACCGCUACCAGGAAUUAGCUGGAGUUCUCCGGCAGAUUCCUGGUAUGAAGGUAAAGGGAGUCACUGGGAAGCCAGACAGCUUUGAGGUGUCACUGGGGGAUGAGCUGAUUUACUCGAAGCUGGAGACUAAACAGUUUCCAGAUGUUGAACAGCUGGCAGCGAAGGUGAGGGAGAAGGUUCCUGGAGGAAACGCCAAGAGCAAAUCCAAAACAAAGAGGAAAUGUGCUCUCCAGUAAAAAGAAAAAAA